rnacentral:rRNA from 1 species
AACGUAGGUGGCAAGCGUUAUCCGGAUUUACUGGGCGUAAAGCGUGUGCAGACGGGGCUUCAAGUGGUGUAUGAAAUCGCUCGGCUCAACCGGGCGCGGGUAUGCCAGACUGGAGUGCUAGAGGGUGCGAGAGGGACGUGGAAUUCCGGGUGUAGUGGUGAAAUGCGUAGAGAUCGGGAGGAACACCCGUGGCGAAGGCGGCCGACUGGGCCGACUCUGACGCUGAGGCGCGAAGGCGUGGGGAGCGAACGGG